GAUGAAGAACGCAGUGAAAUGCGAUAAGUAAUGUGAAUUGCAGAAUUCAGUGAAUCAUCGAAUCUUUGAACGCACAUUGCGCCCGCCAGUAUUCCGGCGGGCAUGCCUGUUCGAGCGUCAUUUCAACCCUCAAGCUCUCCGGAGUUUGGUGUUGGGGCCUGCUGCACUGGCAGCCCUUAAAAUCAGUGGCGGCGCCAUCUGGCUCUAAGCGUAGUAAUUCUUCUCGCUAUGGAGUCCUGGUGGAUGCUUGCCAUCAACCCCCAAUUUUUCUAUGGUUGACCUCGGAUCAGGUAGGGAUACCCGCUGAACUUAAGCAUAUCAAUAAGCGGAGGA
rnacentral:misc_RNA from 1 species